rnacentral:misc_RNA from 1 species
AGCAUCAUGUGCCAAUCUCAGUACACAAACGAAAGUGUAUAAAAUACAUAGGCACUGCAUUACACAAAUUUACUUAGGUUUUAUUUUCUGUGCACCGCGUACUAAAUAAUAGUGUGAAUAACCAGAGGGAGAUAUUAGAAUUUUUUUUUGGUUCUAUUUAAUUUCAAAAUGAUUAUCUCUUGUUGGCAGAUUUUAUUCUUGGCUUCGCUAGCCAUGGGGUCAUCGCAGGAAAAAGUACACAUCGUAGAUAAUGCACCAGGCCAAAAUUAUGGAACUGGAAACAUCGUGGAUCCCGGCUUCUACCAACCAUCUAACCCGAACUUAGGAACUGGCCAAAUUGUCGAUCCCGGCUUCUACCAACCAUCUAACCCGAACUUAGGAACUGGCCAAAUUGUCGACCCAGGCUUCUACCAACCUUCAAACCCUAACUUGGGAACUGGUCAGAUUGUCGAUCCUGGCUUCUACCAACCGUCAGCCGACCAAUAAAUAAUGGACCCGCUUACGUAGGAAACCCACCACCACCUCACUGGAGCCAGACUUUGUACCCUUCUGGAGUUGCUCGGGACGCCAACAACUAA